UCGGGAGGAACCCAGGGACUGGGAGGGUCUCUCUCUCUGCCACCCAGGCCAGAGUGCAGUUGACGCAGGGCAGGGGAGCCCCGAAAUGGAGCAUAGUGUGUCUGGAACUGGUGGGUUCUUGGUCUCACUGACUUCAAGAAUGAAGCCACGGACCCUCGCGGUGAGUGUCACAGUUCUUAAAGGCGGCGUGUCCGGAGUUUGUUCCUUCUGAUGCUCAGAUGUGUUCAGAGUUUCUUCCUUCUGGUGGGUUGGUGGUCUCGCUGGCUUCAGGAGUGAAGCUGCAGACCUUCGCAGUGACUGUUACAGCUCAUAAACGCAGUGUGGACCCAAAGAGUGAGCAGCAGCAAGAUUUAUUGCAAACAGCAAAAGAACAAAGCUUCCACAGUGUGGAAAGGGACCCCAGUGGGUUGCCACUGCUGGCUGGGGCAGCCUGCUUUUAU
rnacentral:lncRNA from 1 species